rnacentral:sRNA from 1 species
CCCGCCGUUGAAACGACGGGCUAUUUUGAAUCGUCCCUGCGGGACU